GACGAACGCUGGCGGCGUGCUUAACACAUGCAAGUCGAACGGAAAGGCCCUGCUUUUGUGGGUUGCUCGAGUGGCGAACGGGUGAGUAACACGUGAGUAACCUGCCCUUGACUUUGUGAUAACUUCAGGAAACUGGGGCUAAUACCGGAUAGGAGCUCCUGCUGCAUGGUGGGGGUUGGAAAGUUUCGGCGGUUGGGGAUGGACUCGCGGCUUAUCAGCUUGUUGGUGGGGUAGUGGCUUACCAAGGCUUUGACGGGUAGCCGGCCUGAGAGGGUGACCGGCCACAUUGGGACUAAGAGACGGACCAGACUCCUACGGGCGGCAGCAGUGGGGAAUAUUGCACAAUGGGCGGAAGCCUGUGGCAGCAACGCCGCGUGCGGGAUGACGGCCUUCGGGUUGUAAACCGAUUUCGCCGGUGACGAAGCGUGAGUGACGGUAAUGGGUAAAGAAGCACCGGCUAACUACGUG
rnacentral:rRNA from 1 species